rnacentral:tRNA from 1 species
GAAGCAGUAGCUCAGGCGGUAGAGCAACGAAAAGUUUUAAGAUUACCUUAAAAAUUAUUCAAAUGUUAUUUAGGGAGACUUUUUCAGUUACUUGAAGGAGUGUGGUUCAAGUCCACAAGCGUUUAAGAAUUAUCAAAGGUCAAUUAAAACUUACAUCCAGACUCCAAAUCCGUGUGUCGUGAGUUCGAAUCUCACCUGCUUCG